AUGCGAAUCGUUGAUGUUCUUCAUGGCAAGGUACUAUUGUUGUGCAAACAAGGUAGGAUUCUCGCAGUCUGGGAUCCUAUGAAUGGAGAAACAACUUUCACACAAGAACCAGAGAAUGAAACGAAUAGCCAGGCUAGUAUAUUGUGUGCUGCGAAUCAUGAUCACAAGGAUGGAUGCAAUAAUUGUCCUAUCAAAAUAAUUUGGAUUUGCACUGGAAGAAAUCCAACGAAGGUGUACACCUUUUGUUCUGCUAGUGCUGAGUGGAAAUGUGCUGUGUGUGUUCUUCCAUCUUUGUCAUAUGUCGAAUUCCGUCCUGGAACCAUUGUUGGAAAUGUCAUGUAUUGGGUAAUGAGUGUAAACCAUCUGUUUAGUUUCAAUAUGAUUGACAGCAGCAUGAGCUACAUAGAGCAACCUCAUGAAGUUGAUAAAAUUCUUAGGAGGAAUUUUCAUGUAAUGAAGAUUAGAAAUCAUGAAGUUGGUCUUGCUGCUGUUAUUAAUUAUGAGAUGAAAAUAUGGAGGAUGGAACCUGAUUUUGAGGAAACAAUAUGUUGGAUUCCUCAUAAAGUGAUUCAACUGCAGCGAAUCAUUUCCUUCCCAAGAACAACACAUUUGUGCUGGAAGCCUAAAGCAAUCUUACUUCAUGUUUUUGAAGAUAGAGAAAUGGUCAUUUUUAGAACUACAGAUGGUGUGUAUGAAGUGGACAUUUGCAAUGAAGCUGGUAGAAAGUUGUUUGGACCAGAAGUUACUAUGUCAAUAUACCCAUAUGCAACUUUAUAUAUCCCU
rnacentral:rRNA from 1 species